AACGAACGCUGGCGGCAGGCCUAACACAUGCAAGUCGAACGUGAAGCCACCUUCGGGUGGUGGAAAGUGGCAGACGGGUGAGUAACGCGUGGGAACGUGCCUUUCGGUUCGGAAUAACCCAGGGAAACUUGGGCUAAUGCCGGAUACGCCCUCCGGGGGAAAGAUUUAUCGCCGAAAGAUCGGCCCGCGUCGGAUUAGCUUGUUGGUGGGGUAAAAGCCUACCAAGGCGACGAUCCGUAGCUGGUCUGAGAGGAUGAUCAGCCACACUGGAACUGAGACACGGUCCAGACUCCUACGGGAGGCAGCAGCAGGGAAUCUUGGACAAUGGGCGCAAGCCUGAUCCAGCCAUGCCGCGUGUGUGAAGAAGGCCCUAGGGUUGUAAAGCACUUUCAGUGGUGAAGAAACGCUCGAGGUUAAUACCCUCGAGUACUGACGUUAACCACAGAAGAAGCACCGGCUAACUCCGUG
rnacentral:rRNA from 1 species